GUUCUAGUAGCUCAAGGGUAGAGCACUGCACUGUUAAUGCAUUGACACUAGUUCGAGUCUAGUCUAGAACG
rnacentral:tRNA from 1 species